rnacentral:rRNA from 1 species
CGGCGGACGGGUGAGUAAUGCCUAGGAAUCUGCCUGGUAGUGGGGGACAACGUUUCGAAAGGAACGCUAAUACCGCAUACGUCCUACGGGAGAAAGCAGGGGACCUUCGGGCCUUGCGCUAUCAGAUGAGCCUAGGUCGGAUUAGCUAGUUGGUGAGGUAAUGGCUCACCAAGGCGACGAUCCGUAACUGGUCUGAGAGGAUGAUCAGUCACACUGGAACUGAGACACGGUCCAGACUCCUACGGGAGGCAGCAGA